GACGAACGCUGGCGGCGUGCUUAACACAUGCAAGUCGAACGGAAAGGCCCUGCUUUUGUGGGGUGCUCGAGUGGCGAACGGGUGAGUAACACGUGAGUAACCUGCCCUUGACUUUGGGAUAACUUCAGGAAACUGGGGCUAAUACCGGAUAGGAGCUCCUGCUGCAUGGUGGGGGUUGGAAAGUUUCGGCGGUUGGGGAUGGACUCGCGGCUUAUCAGCUUGUUGGUGGGGUAGUGGCUUACCAAGGCUUUGACGGGUAGCCGGCCUGAGAGGGUGACCGGCCACAUUGGGACUGAGAUACGGCCCAGACUCCUACGGGAGGCAGCAGUGGGGAAUAUUGCACAAUGGGCGGAAGCCUGAUGCAGCAACGCCGCGUGCGGGAUGACGGCCUUCGGGUUGUAAACCGCUUUCGCCUGUGACGAAGCGUGAGUGACGGUAAUGGGUAAAGAAGCACCGGCUAACUACGUGCCAGCAGCCGCGGUGAUACGUAGGGUGCGAGCGUUGUCCGGAUUUAUUGGGCGUAAAGGGCUCGUAGGUGGUUGAUCGCGUCGGAAGUGUAAUCUUGGGGCUUAACCCUGAGCGUGCUUUCGAUACGGGUUGACUUGAGGAAGGUAGGGGAGAAUGGAAUUCCUGGUGGAGCGGUGGAAUGCGCAGAUAUCAGGAGGAACACCAGUGGCGUAGGCGGUUCUCUGGGCCUUUCCUGACGCUGAGGAGCGAAAGCGUGGGGAGCGAACAGGCUUAGAUACCCUGGUAGUCCACGCUGUAAACGGUGGG
rnacentral:rRNA from 1 species